rnacentral:pre_miRNA from 1 species
CCGUGGCUGGAACCGGUGCUAAAGGGUCCCUUUAGAACCGGCUGGUAACACGCGCCGGUGCUAAAGGGUCACCCUUUAGCACCGGUUCCAGCCGCAGA